CUUUGUCACAUAUGACCCUUGGUCGAAAUCCUAUCUCAUCCCGAAAUACGGUUCACAUCAUUUCACUUCAAAUUUUGCCGUUUGUACAUCAGUGUACGCGCCCCUCGCAUGAAGAAUGGAUCCAUGCUCAAUAAAAGAUAUGUGGACCUCGCUUGUGUGAGGGGCUUGUAAACCGACGUUGUGUACGUAUAGCACAAUUGUUUCACUUGAGCUUCUACAUAGUUUCUAGAUUUUUCUAUUGAGCCUUUCAGUCUUCUUCUCCGUCUUCGUUCUGGUCUUUAAUGUCUUAUGAGAUUCUAAACUAGUUGUAUAAUCCUUGUUGAUUAGAUUUGCUACAAUAAUUCAGAACUGAAAUAGCGGCUGAAUUUGUGCGAUUUAAGAGAUCCUCUUGUGGAUUCACGACUAAAUCUUGGUCUGAUUUGGUUUGAUGUACUCUAUAAUCUCUUUGAAAGGUUUUUGGUUACACUUAGUGAUCGUGCUGAUCCGUGAGCCCCAAAAUUAAGCUUUUGCUGAAUUUGGUGAACAAUUAUUUUGUUCUUUAUGUUUUUAAAUGCGGUGAUUUUUAUUUAUUUAUUUAUUUUAUAUCGUUCAUCAAAUUGACACUUUUUGGGAUAAAAUUUCAACAAAACUAGUAUCAAAGCCAUUAGGGUUUCUGAACGUGUGUUCCUUUUGAAACUAAAAUCUUUUUUAGGUAUUUUUUUGGAUUUGUUUAGAUCUUUCAAGGAUCUAUACAGACUUGUAUUUCCUUGGGUAGCCUGAAAUAAUAAAUGUGAAAAAAUUAAUGGCGGUAUGCCACUGUACUGAUCUCGUGGCUGUCUGAGUGAGAUUGUUGGCUUUGGUUAAGGGCUCUGAAAUAUUGUACUGAUUUUCAACAGUAUCUUGGUAAGAUCGUUCCAAAUCUCUUUAAAUUUUUUGGUUUGUUCUUUUAUGUCAUAUGCAUGAAUUUUUUUUUUUUUUUUUUAGAUAUAUAUGUUAAAAUCUUCACGUGAAUAUUUGAGAAUUGAUGAGCA
rnacentral:lncRNA from 1 species